CUUCACUAGCAGGACUAAGUACUGAUUUUGCCCCAGAUCCCUAAGUGGCCCCCUCAAGGAUUGAACUCACAACCCUGGGUUUAGCAAGCCAAUGCUCAAACCACUGAGCUAUCCCUAUGAUUUUGGUGCGUGUUACACAAGCUCCAACAGAUGAAAUUAUGCCCCUCAAUUAUAAAAACGCAUCAAUUCUCGUCAGCAAAAUAAUAUUCCUAGGAAAUAAAUCAACUGGGGGUAGAGAUAGGUGAAUUUAGAGAAGAUUGUGGCAAACAGAUCCAGGUCUAUUAGGAAAAAAUCUGUGCAGAGGCAGGGCUUUGAUAUUGUGUGGUCUACUGCGGUAACAAGCACACAUCUUCCCGAAAGUGGGAUCAUUAAGGGGGAUUUUAUUCAGAACAUUUUGUCAGCUUAAGGUUGUCUUUCCUGGUGAGAAAAGCACACGUAGAGUAAUUUACAGGCUGAUCUGUCUGAAGGAAAAUCCUCAUUCUAGAAUUCUUACUUUUAUGACACUCAGUUCAAAGUAAUUUUCUGUUUUUAUUAUGUAGAACACAAGCCAUAGGAAGCCCACUUACAGGAAAUAAACCCUCUUCUUCCACGCUGCAGCUUUACCCUGACAAUGUAGAAUAUUCCAGAGUCCUCUUCUUGUAUUUUCCUUCCCCCACCCAAGCCACAUGGGUCCUUGUGUUGUUUGAAGUUCAGCAGGGUUGACAGCUUGGGGUUCUUCUGGGCAGGACAGAUGGACGAGAGUCUCGAUUCCAUCCUUCCCUGUGCGCUCCAUCCCUCAGGGAGCAUUUCUGUAGACUUUUAUGGAAAUGCUAUGGGAGUCUACAGCAGCAAUCUGGUUCUCCCUUCAGUUCUGCAGGUUGUUUAGAGUCGUUUCUGUAGCACCCUGCUGGGUCCAUCCCUGUUAAAUUCUGUAGAAUUUUUCCAUAAGGGAUGGGUUGUUUUGGGCCAGCCAGAGAUGGUCCUCAGCACACUCCAGAGUCCUGCACAGCCACAGGACUUUCCCAUGGCCCAGGGAUCUGGCUGCUGCCCCUACCUUCUUCUCUUCUCUGCAGAUCCAGUGGCCAUGGAACUCUCUGGCUGCCAACUUUCCAUCCCUUCUCUCCUUAAAGGGACAUCACUGAAGGGUCCCGCUCGCUCUGAGCCUGCUCCAAGGAAAUGGGAAGACCCCCAUGACCUCAGUGGCAGGUCGAUCAGGCCCUUGGUGAAGAGCAGGAGGGAGGGAAAGGCUGUCACUCUGUGGUUAAGAUUUUCUAAAGCCCCAUUGGCUUCCAGUGGGAUCUAGGCUCCUAAGUGACUUUGUUGCUUUUGAAAAUCUUCCCGUAUGUCCCCUAUUACUCUGGUACUGUGAGGCCGCUCCGAAUAAGCUGCACCAGUCAAACCUCAGCCUUUGAUGUGCGCCGUGCAUGUGCUGAUUGGAAUAACCAAGGAGAGAACUACUCAUAACCCUGAGUAGGAGCAGAGAACAUCUUCAUGAGACAGCCCUGCACCAGCUCCUGCCUGACUGUGUGAGGCUAAACACAGGGAACAUGGCGUCUUUGGGUCCCUUCAGUGCCAGUCCACAUGGAAUCUGUGGCGUGGAAAUGACAUGGUGAGAAUCAGAAAGGCAGAAAAGGGCUGCUGGUGAAGUAACGUGAUGGUCUGCCUUGCUCUCAGCAUGGGGGAGAGGCGGCUCGCCAGAAGGGACAGUUACCUUCCCAAUAAGAUCCUGGAUUUCCGUGACACUUCAGUCUCGUGUUGUGUGCCUGUGACACUCCCUAGGCUACCCACCGUUGUGAAGUUCCCCACUACCACCUGCCCUUAGCCAGGCAGCCUUUUCUCUGCCUGCUGUGAAUCAGCAACCUGAAUCCACUGCCUUUGGCAACACAAUCACUGCCUGCCAGGCCCCUGCAGGGCUUGCGCUCUCAGUGCAGGCUAGUGAACGGCGCUCGCCAGCCCCCGAGCCCUCUCUGAGCGCUUUCAUAAACGUGGACGCACUGUCCGUUCACUUCCUACGUGCAGGAUGCAGAGGUGCUGUCUCUGCCUUUAAAUAUACCUGCAAAGUUUGUUGUCUGUAGACAAUGUGGCUUGUUUUCUCCUGUGUGCUCCCUUCCUGCUGAUUUCACAUCUCUUCGUUAAGCUCUGACUUCGUUGGUAAAUGGGCAUCCAUCGUGUUAGCCCACGAUGCUUAGUUUACAUUCUGACAGUGAGAGAGGUGAAUAAACAUCUCUUGUCUGACAAAAACCUGGUUUUUGCUUCUGCUGAUGACUUAAGCUGCAGACUCUCAGACCAUAAUUUCAGUCUAUAAACAUCACUCUAUA